GACGAACGCUGGCGGCGUGCCUAAUACAUGCAAGUCGAGCGAAGUUUUUCUGGUGCUUGCACUAGAAAAACUUAGCGGCGAACGGGUGAGUAACACGUAAAGAACCUGCCUCAUAGACUGGGACAACUAUUGGAAACGAUAGCUAAUACCGGAUAACAGUAUUUCUCGCAUGAGAGAUAUUUAAAAGUUGGUUAUGCUAACACUAUGAGAUGGCUUUGCGGUGCAUUAGCUAGUUGGUGGGGUAAAGGCCCACCAAGGCGACGAUGCAUAGCCGACCUGAGAGGGUGAUCGGCCACACUGGGACUGAGACACGGCCCAGACUCCUACGGGAGGCAGCAGUAGGGAAUCUUCCGCAAUGGGCGAAAGCCUGACGGAGCAACGCCGCGUGAGUGAAGAAGGAUUUCGGUUCGUAAAGCUCUGUUGUUAGGGAAGAAUGGAUAUGUAGUAACUAUACAUGUAAGAGACGGUACCUAACCAGAAAGCGACGGCUAACUACGUG
rnacentral:rRNA from 1 species